rnacentral:rRNA from 1 species
CAAGCGCAAAAGGGCAUUUAGUGGAUGCCUUGGCAUCAAGAGUCGAUGAAGGACGUGGCAGGCUGCGAAAAGUUAAGGGGAGUUGUCAACACACUUUGAUCCUUAAAUAUCCGAAUGGGGAAACCCAACUCUUUAGAGUUACUUAUUAGUGAAUUCAUAGCUAAUAAGAGUUAACCUAGUGAAUUGAAAUAUCUUAGUAGCUAGAGGAAAAGAAAUUUAUUCUGUUAGUAGUGACGAGCGAAAGCGGAUCAGGCCAAUAAUAGUAAUUAUAAUAACUAGAACUUUCUGGAAAGUUAGACCAUAGUGGGUGAUAGUCCCGUAUAGGUAAAAAGUAAUUUUAUUUUCGAGUAGGGCGGAACACGUGAAAUUUUGUCUGAAUAUGGGAAGACCACUUCCCAAGCCUAAAUACUCCUUGAUGACCGAUAGUGAACAAGUACCGUGAGGGAAAGGUGAAAAGCACCCCGAUAGGGGGAAUGAAAUAGUAUCUGAAACCGAAUGCCUACAAGCAGUCAGAGCUUCCUUGAGAAGUGAUGGCAUACCUUUUGUAUAAUGGGUCAGCGACUUAAUCUCAUUAGCAAGCUUAAGCCAUUUAGGUGUAGGCGUGAAGCGAAAGCGAGUCUGAAUAGGGCUACGAUUUAGUUAAUGGGAUUAGGACUCGAAACCGGGUGAUCUAGUCAUGAGCAGGUUGAAAGUGAAGUAAAAUUCACCGGAGGACCGAACCCACUAGCGUUGAAAAGCUACGGAUGACUUGUGAUUAGGGGUGAAAGGCCAACCAAACUGGAAAUAGCUAGUUCUCCGAAAACCAUUUAGGUAGUGCGUCGUGUGAAUCUUGUCGGGGGUAGAGCACUGAAUGGGCUAGGGGGAAGCAAUUCCUACCAAACCUAAUCAAACCUGAAUACCGAUAAGUCUGGCACGGCAGACAGUCCAUGGGUGCUAUGUCCUGGACGAGAGGGAAACAGCCCAGAUCAACAGCUAAGGUCCCCAAAUAAUGAUUAAGGUGAAAGGGAGUGGGAACUCCAAGACAGCCAGGAGGCUGGCUUUUACAGCCAUCCUUUUAAAGAAAGCGUAACAGCUCACUUCUGGCCUAAUUGAGAUCCUGCACCGAAAAUGUAACGGGGCUCAAAUCAUUUACCGAAGCUUUGACAAUUACUUUGUAAUUGGGUAGCGGAGCGUUCUGUAAGCCUGUGAAGGUGAUGCGUAAGCAUUGCUGGAGGUAUCAGAAGUGAAUGCUGACAUGAGAAUGAUAAGAAUGAAAGACAUUUCCGCCGAAAUCCUAAGGUUUCCUUGCAGGCGUAAAGCUAAUCUGCGCAUAGUUAGUCGUGGUCCUCAAGGCGAGGGCGAAAAGCCGUAGUCGAUGGGAAGCAGGUUAUUCCCGCACCAGCUGGUAGUGACGGAUGAAGUAAAUUGUAAGUUCUUACUGGAUUGAACUGCAGUGAAUUUUGUCCCUGGAAAUAGCUCCAGCAUUAGACCGUACCAAACCGACACAGGUAGGAAGGUAGAGUAUGUACCAAGGCGCUUGAGAGAACUAUGUUGAAGGAACUCGGCAAAUUACACUUGUAACUUCGGGAUAAAAGUGACCUGCUAUUGGGCAACCAGUAGGAGGUGGCACAGAAGAGGGGGUAGCGACUGUUUACUAAAAACAUAGCACUAUGCAAAGUCGAGAGACGACGUAUAUGGUGUGACGCCUGCCCGGUGCCGGAAGGUUAAUAGAGGGGCAAGCCCGGAAUUGAAGCCCGGUGAACGGCGAACCAUAACGGUCCUAAGGUAGCGAAAUUCCUUGUCGGGUAAGUUCCGACCGCACGAAUGGCGUAACGAUUUCCCCACUGUCUCCAACAUAGACUCAGUGAAAUUGAAUUCUCGGUUAAGAUGCCGAGUAACCGUGGUUAGACGGAAAGACCCCCGUGCACCUUUACUGCAGCUUUGUAUUGGUAUUAGGGGACAGAUGUGUAGCAUAGGUGGGAGACUUUGAAGGAUUGGCGCUAGCCAGUCUGGAGUCACCAGUGAAAUACCACCUUCUGUUCCUUGAUGCCUAAAUCCAUACACCCGUUAUCCGGUGUUGGGACCAUGCAUGGUGGGCAGUUUGAUCAGCGGUCGCCUCCCAAAAGAGUAACGGAGGCGCGCGAUGGUAGGCUCAGAACGCUUGGAAACCGUUCGUCGAGUGCAAUGGCAUAAGCCUGCCUUGACUGCGAGACCCACAAGUCGAGCAGAGACGAAAGUCGGUCAUAGUGAUCCGUGGCACUGUGGAAGGGCCAUCGCUCAACGGAUAAAAGGUACGCCGGGGAUAACAGGCUGAUCUCUCCUAAGAGUCCAUAUCGACGGGGAGGUUUGGCACCUCGAUGUCGGCUCAUCGCAUCCUGGGGCUGAAGCAGGUCCCAAGGGUUUGGCUGUUCGCCAAUUAAAGCGGUACGCGAGCUGGGUUGAACGUCGUGAGACAGUUCGUCCCUAUCUGCCAUGGUUGUGGAAGCUUGAGAGAUUCGCCCUUAGUACGAGAGGACUGGUGGACGUACUUCUCUGGUGUACCUAUUGUAGCGCCAGCUGCAUCAGUGUAGCUAUGUACGGAAUGGAUAACCGCUGAAAGAGCCCAAGCGGGAAGCCAACCUCAAAACUAGGCUUCGUUAUAGGAUCGUGGAAGACUACCACGUUGAUAGGCUGGGUGUGGAAGUGUGGUAAACACAUGAAGCUAACUUCAGUACUAAUAAUCCAA